rnacentral:rRNA from 1 species
GUCCGCACAGUAAACGAUGAAUACUCGCUGUUGGCGAUAUACUGCCAGCGGCCAAGCGAAAGCGUUAAGUAUUCCACCUGGGGAGUACGCCGGCAACGGUGAAACUCAAAGGAAUUGACGGGGGCCCGCACAAGCGGAGGAACAUGUGGUUUAAUUCGAUGAUACGCGAGGAACCUUACCCGGGCUUGAACUGCAGCGGAAUGAUUUGGAAACAGAUCAGCGAGCAAUCGCCGCUGUGGAGGUGCUGCAUGGUUGUCGU